AUAAAAUUCUAUGCAGCGGAAAAUAAAACAAACUACGGAACAGCUAUGGCGACUCCACUCCACAGGCAACUUAACCCGGAACAAGCCUAGUCCUCCAGAUCAUCACCUUCACUGAAAUACUCCUCCUCUGAUGAAUGAAUAUUGCAAGAAUGAGCAUAUGACAUACUCAACAAGUCACACAGCAAAUAUGUAAGUGCAGAGGAUAACAAAGGAUAGCAUAGUAAAGCUCAUUUGCAUAAACAGCAUUUAAUAAAUAUUUAAGAGAAUAGUAAAACAGUUGAAUAAUUAAGCAGUAUUAAAUAACCACUACACAACACACCCGUGUUGCAUAGGCCCUACCUCAUCUGAACAACCAACCCCGGUUGUACAAAUCAAGCCUCCAUACCAGGAAUAUGCCAUUCCAAACCAAGAGUCAAAUUAAUUAACACAAUUAUCAUUAAUGAGUAGUGUGAGACUAAUCACGAAAAACAUUGUUAAACUCACCCAUAACCGCGGGCACGGCUAUUCGAAUAGUUUUACUCUGAUCAGAGAUGCACCACUGUACCCACAAGACACAACUCCACCACAAGUCACCAUGUACCUCAGUAUCACCACGGUACCUUGGAAAGGAACUGUGACAAUACCCCUCGCACAACACAACUCACCACAAUGCACCGUUCCUGGAUCAUAAUCUCCCCCUCAAAACCAGAGGCAAUGGACACCCCAGCGACCCCCACGGACUUCUCCCUGCUUCACAGUCUGGCACACCAUAAUGAAUCACGCUAUACAAAAGAUAAAGCCGUUGCCCACGCUGGCUUGUGGUUGGCACGGUAAAUGUUUCACAACAGUAGCUCGCGAACCGGUCCUUAAUUGUCAUGAGCACAACCAUCAAAAACAUAUGCUCACAACCCACCUUUAAUCAGGUUUUAAUUAUCAAUUAAUUAACAUAACACGAUUAACCAUCGUGAGCUACCAUUAAAUAUAACCAUAAUUAAUAAUGUAGUAUGAUUUAUGAUUUAUCCCAUUAAUUAGCUAAUGUUUCUAAGCGUGGCUAAGCAAUUAUACAUAUAGCAUUUAGCCGAACCAAUCCAAUAUAUAAGGUCCAAGCUAAUCAAAUUAUAACACAUAGGAAAAUAAAGUAAUCUUCGGCCAUUAAUUAAUUGGGAAAGGUUCACCGCCCGAUGACAUUCAAAAAUAAUGCAUAAGUUGAAAUAAAACAUUAGCUUUAAAUGGGUUCAACAUGCUCAAAGGGUUGUUUGGGAUCUGUGUGACUUGCCUUGAGCUUCCGCAAACACUUCCGAACCUUCCUCAACGAAAGCGCUCUCCUCGGGAACGUCAGAAACUAAGGCAAAUAGACAAAAUCAACAAAACAGUACAAAAACAAGCAUAAACAGUACAUGUGGAUAUUUUUAACAUGUAGAUCUCGAUUUUAGAAAAAUUUAGCAACUUGAACCACUCGAAUCGGAGUUACGAUGAUUUAGUUAUGAAUUUGCGAAGUUUUAAUUGAUUUUCAUCUAAUAAAGAAAACGUAGAAAAAGGAAAUAUGACGUCAUGAUGACGUCAUCAUCGCCGGCCAUAACACGGGCGGCACAACCACCAGCGCUAGGGGGCUCGGCCGGGCUAUCGGAGGGCACCUACGCGUAGAGAACGACGACGCGAACUCACCGGUACUAGCAAACACGACGGACGACGACGAACGGCGGCCGGCGGCAAGCUCUAACGGCGGCGCGGCUCAUGUCAGCAGCGGCGACGGCGUUCCUUCGACAGGCGACGGCGUCGAAGGGGCGGCCGGGGUUCUCCACCUCCAUGCGCACCUAACGGCGGUGACGGGAAGCGGCGGCGACGGCGCUAGCGACGGCGCGGUGCGGCUGGACGACGGCCGGCGGCAGCGGUGGCUAGGGCGGCGUGGCGGCGGCGAUACGGACGACGAGGGAGCUCGGGAGUAGGGGCAAAUGAAAGAGGACGCAAUUAGCUCUAGAUUGGAGAGAUCGGACUCCAACCGCGAGAAAUCAAGCCGGGAAAAACUAGGGUUAGGUGGAGAGAUAAACUCGAAAACGAGUUUGAUUCGGAUAAAAUACGAAGCAAUUAGCUCCGAUUUUUGGGGGAAAAGAUAGAGGAAAACAAAGGGAUAAAAACGCCUCAACCAAUCGGACACGGGGGCGACCGGUUGAGGCGAAAUCGGCGGAGGAAGGCGGCGGCUCGGGCAUGGGCUCGGCCGGCCGGAGGUUGAAGACAACCCCGACAUGUGGGCCCCACAUGUCGGCGGCUGUGAGUAGGGGGAGGCCGGCGGCUCAUCUGGGACGGCGUGGGCCGCUCGGCUCACGCGAGGAGAGAGGGAUGUUGGGCCGAAUUCGGCCCAACGGCUUAGAGGAGGGUUUUUAAAACUUUUUCAAUUAAAAUAAUUCAUGAAAUGAUGUUUCAUUUAUUAAAAAUACUUCUCUUGCUCAAAUAAUUCCCUAAAAAAUCUAGAAAAUAGAGGAACAAGCAAAGUAUUUAAUGAAAUUUUAUCUAGCUCAAUUUUAUGUUGAAAAUUUUCCUAGAUUAUUAGAGUUUAACUUGUAGGCUUUUAAAAAAUUUUCUAGAAAUGAUUUAAAAUAUGGAUUAUUAAUUUAGGUGAUUUUCAGGGCAUGACACAGCCCCUUCCCCAACCUCCAGCCGCUCCCCGAGCCGGCGACCGCCGCACCGCGCGCGUGCCGCCCACCUUCUCCGCCUUCCCCGCGCCCCCCUCCCGCACGCCCCGUCUUCUCCGCGCCCACGCCCCCACUCCCGCUCGCGCCCACGUCACGAGAUGGCCGGGAUUCAAAUUCGAAUCCCGCCUCUCUCUCUCCCCACCUCCAACUUCCCCCACUAACUCCGGCGAAAUCGAGCCACUCCCGGCCGUUCCUGACCUCUCCGCCCCUAUAUAAUUCAUCCCCACAUCCUCCUCCUCAUUUUCCCUUUUUCCGCUGGCCUCUCCCGAGCUCUCCACCGCUCCUGCAUCGUGCCCCCAUCCGCCACCAUCUCUUCCAUUGCUCCGGCCGCCUUUAGCUGCCACUAGGGUUGCCGCCGCACCGCGCCGUCGUCGCCGUCGGGUUCGCGUGGCCGAGGUCCACCUCGUCCACCCCUCCUCCGUCGAAUUCCGCCAUCGGAGGCCGCCGUCCACCAUGCGCCGGUGAGCCUUUCCAUAGCAGCAGCCGUCGGCCACGGUUCCCGCUCGCCGUGGACUCCCUCUCCCCCUCUAACCUCUCUCUUUUUCUCUCUUAGGGUGUCUCAGAGCCCGUCUGCCGUUCGCCGUCAUUCCUCGGCCGUCGCCGUCGCCGUUCGCCGUUGUCUUCCUCCGCGCCGGCCAACUCACGGUGAGGCGCCCCUCCUCCUCUUUUCCCCUCCCUCUCCCUCCUAGCGCCGAGCCGGGCCGAGCCGACGCUUCGGCCGUGCACCGCCGCCUUCGCGCGCCGCCCUUGCAUGGCAGGCCGGCUGGCUUGAUGCCGAGCCCGGCCGGCGCCUCGCCACUCCCCUUGGGCCGGUGCCGAGUGGGGCCCGCCUAUCAGUGCCCCCUCCUUUCCCCCUUGUGUCACCGACUAAUGGGGCCCGCAUGUCGGCGCCGCCCCCCUCCUUGAUGACAUCAGCCCUAGGAUAUAUUGCGCAAUAAAUAAUUAAGGUAUUUUCUCUUUAUAGUAAGAACACAGUGAAUCUUCUAAAAUUCAUAUCUAAUUCAUCCGAGCUCCGUUUAAGCCCAUUCAAGUCUUAGUAAAUCAAGACAAAUGUGUAGAAUCCAUUAAAAAUGGUUUUGUUCUCUGUUUCAGUAGUCUUAUAGCCUGUUUGUAUUGUUUGCUUUGUAUGACGCUUAGAUUUCGGCUCUCCCGACACUCCGGUGUACUUUGAGAUAGUCGCCGAGAUUCCUCCAGCAGCAGAGCAAGGCAAGUCAUGCUUGUCACUUGAACAUGUUGAUCCUAUAUUGCAAAUGGUCUAUUGUUUUCAUUCAAGUACUGCAUUGUUUUGCAAUAAUAUUAUGGGAUGUUCACCUACUGUUACGGCCAUGCUAUUCUUAUACCAUGCUCCUUUGAUAGCUUGGGUUAUAAACAUGACUAGAGAUUGGACUAGGGAUUGCUUAGCCAUGCUUAGUUCAACUAGCACACAAUGGGGGAAAUCAUAUUAAUGUAUAGACUAUAGGUUCUAAUGGUAAUGUUGGAUUAGUGCCGCUUCGGUGUUGGUUAAUUAAAAUAAAUCACAUGGUGGGCUGUGAGUGCAUGGUUUUGUUGGUCACGCCCAUGGCAUUUAAGGACCGGUUCGCGGGAUGCCCUGGAAGAACUUAUCAUACUUACCACAAGCCAGCGUGGGCAACGGCUGGGCUUGUAGUGUAGCUUUCCUCUAGUUGACGCAUCCAGGCAAGCGUGGGUGUGAUGGAGCGGGACGGGCCCUGCGACGGUCUCUGUCGCUUCCGGAUUCACCUAGGCACGAGAGGGGACUGCCCGUUGCCCGCUGGGGACGGGGGUGAAACCUGAGGUGUGGUGUGCUUGGCUAGAGGGGGUUAUGCGAAGGGUCCUGUCAUGGCCUCUUUCCUGUAUGUCGUGGUGGCAUGUCGGCGCAUGAAAACGUGUCGUGGGGCUGUGUCUUGUGGGUACAGUUGUACACCUCUGAUCAGAGUAAAACUAUUCGACUAGCCGUGCCCGCAGUUAUGGGCGGUCAACCAGAUUCACCAUGAUUAGUCUCACCCUAGUGUAGUCUGAUGGAACUGAUUAGUUCAGGUGGUUGGUUGGGCCUGUUGCAACGUGGUGUAGCGUUGAACAGUGGAUGGUUAAUAUUGAUUAAAUAGUACAAUGGUUUUACCGCUUUCAACUUCUGUUUAUAAAUGCUCGCUUUAUGCAAAAGAACCUCUCUAGCUAUCCUUCGGUAAUAUCCUGCAUCAUACCUCCGUUCCGGCAUGACUUGCUGAGUACAGUGGGUAGUACUCAGUCUUGUUCUAUUUUUCCCCAACCCCAGAGUUUGAGUACGCGUCAGAUGGUGGUUUCUCCGAGGAGUAGGCUUCGUCUGUGCCAUCGAUGAUGCCUGUGGAGGGGUGUUCCCGCUACCGUUCAAGUCAAGGCUUAGCUCCAGUUAUCUUUUGUUUUUCCGCUGCAUUUAUGUAAGACUUUUAUAAUGUUUGUAAGACGUGGAUCUGUAUGUCAACUUUGUCGUUUGUGUACCCCGGCCGGUCCUGGACGGGGAUUUUAAUGCACAUUCUGCUUGGAAUUCUAUUCGGGAAUUUCUGGGCGUGACAAGUUGGUAUCAGAACCGACCUUGACCGUAGGACAAGCCAAAUGGAAAAACCUAGGAGCCCUCUGAAUCCUUUUCAUUGCAUAUGUUCUUUGCAAUUUGAUUUGUUCCGGGAAAAUUGGGAUCUGUUCUUGUGGUUCAAGGGAAAAAUCUUGGUCUCUCGUUUAAGUGAGAUUUGUCGAAUCCAGUCAGUCCAGGGUUUUAGUAAAAUUAUUUGAGAUUUAUUCGAAAGUCAGUCGGGAUUUGAUGGGAGGAAUGCAUUAGGUCCUACUAAGGAAUAUGGGUUGCAAGGUAUUUAUGCUCUUAUUAUUAUUAGUAGUAUGUAUCUAAUUUCUCAUUAUUUUAUCGCUAUGUAAGUCCGUCUUAUUUAUUCGCCCUCAUGCAAAAAUGAUCUAUGCAUAAAAUUCCGCUCUUCUUCGCGUAUUUAAUUUGAGUCUUUUACUGCUUCAUUUAAAUUGGAUUUGAGCAUGCAUUGAUCCUACCCCUUUGUCUUCUCUAGAUGGCCGAUCACCCACCCAACCACCGCGGAGAAGGCAUGGAUGAUUUUGUGGUAGAGUUGUCUCGCAUGACCCUGGUGGUGGGCUACCCCAACGCGCCAGAGUAUUCGACUGUUCCGCCGCUCAGUGGCGAGUUUCCUCAUCGUGUUCGUCUGGAGGUUCAUGGCUAUGUGGGCACCUGCCUCGCUAACAUGGUGGUUGAGCCAUCUGGAGGCACAGCAGAUCACGCCUGUCAAGAGGCAGCAUAUCUGAUGAUGGCCAGACUUCGUGAGCGCCACAACUACAUCUUCUGCAACACGGCGUACCGGUUUCACCCUCGUCGAGCAAGUGGCGACGACGUCAACACCUUCCGUCCGACCGCCGGCGAGAACGACAACACCUUCGGUCACAUGUGUGCCGUGAUGAGGGGAAUGGACAGGAUGCACUCGGAUCUGCGCAAGGCGUCCAAGGCCUUGAAUGACGGGAAGCUCGUGAGGAUCAUAGCUCUAAAGGAUGAGAUAGCACGCCUGAAGAAGGAGAAUGCUCAGUUGAAGGGUCUCCCCAUUCCCGGAGGAGUCCGGAUCCGCAACACGCCCAGCAAGUCGACGACGGCACCCGUGCGCAUUCAGCUUGCGCCCAGGAACCCACCUCCGCCCGUAGUCUCCGCAGCUCCUCCAGUUCUGCCCGCAGCUCCCACAGUUCCUGCAGCGCCCGCAGCUCUAGCUCUAGCCCCAGCUCCUGUUCCCGUGUCAGCUCCCGCGUCUGCUCUCCUUCGCUCCAGCGUCAGCCGCUAGGGGUCCAGCCAGUGGCAACGAAGGUUGGUUGCCCGCUACUCCUAGUGGCAGCCGCGACCGCAGCAGCAGCAGUUCCAGUGGUUCAGAGCCGGGCAGCGGGGAGACGUAUCUGCCAGACUCCAGGAGCCGCUCAGAGGGACCUAGCGACGAGCAGGAGGACGCCUUCGACUCCACCGACCGCAGGAGCCGUUCCGAGCAUUAGGCUCGUUUUCCCUUUGUUUAUCGACUGCUUAGUAAUUGCCUGUUAGUUUGUGUGUCUAGGUUUGUUCGCUUGUGGGUCAGUCGACGGUCGAUAUCAUGUGCCUAUGAUAUGGCUGUCUUAAUAAGGAUUUGCUUGCCAUUUUAAGUGUUUUAAUUUAGAUCAGAACAAUUGCAGUUUAAAUUCCUAUAUAAUAAAGCUUAGUUCCUGAGCAUAUGUUUUUCUUCUUUUCUUCCCCCCCUCCGUCUGCUCUCCCUUCAGAUGGUCAACACCAGGAAUGGCAGCCAUGCAGCAGGUGAGGGCAGCAGCGGUGAAGAACGCACCAAUGGUGGACACCCUAACAGCGCCUUUGGCAACGGUCCGCCACCGCUCCCAGAAAACCCAACGCUCGCACAAGUGAUGGCCCAUCAGACUCAGAUGAUUGCGGCCAUGAUGCAACAGAUGCAGCAGCAGCACCAUCAGAUGCACCAGAGGAUUCAGCAGCAAGCCGAGCAGCAGCAGCAGCAGUUUGGUCCCCCUCCCCCUCAAUCCAAACUGCCAGAGUUUCUAUGCGUCAAGCCACCCACCUUCUCUAGCACCACCAACCCCAUGGAGGCGAAUGACUGGCUCCAUGCCAUAGAGAAGAAGCUAAAUUUCCUGCAGUGCAAUGAUCAAGAGAAGGUCGCCUUUGCCACACACCAGCUCCAGGGUCCCGCGUCAACUUGGUGGGACAAUCACAUGGCUACCCGCCCGCCAGGCACAGAAGUCACUUGGGCGGAGUUCUGUCGCAGCUUCAGAAAGGCGCAGGUGCCAGACGGAGUGGUGGCACAGAAGAAGAGGGAAUUCCGGGCACUCCAUCAGGGCAACAUAACAGUGACUGAGUAUCUCCAUGAGUUCAAUCAUCUAGCGCGAUAUGCACCGGAGAAUGUCCGCACUGACGCAGAGAAGCAGGAGAAGUUCCUAGCAGGCCAACCAGUUGAUCUCUGGAGACUACGCCGACUUUGAGAAGCUGGUUGACAAGGCAAUCCGUCAGGAAGAUCAGCGCAACAAAAUGGACAGGAAGAGAAAGGUAGCGCAGUUCCGAUCCAACCAAGGAAGCCACCAGCGACCGCGCUUCACUCCCGGACAGCAGGGUGGACCUACCACCAUGAUCGUCCGCCAGCAUCGCCCUUUCAACUCGAGAAGCUUCCACCAGGGCGCUAGUGGCAGCCAGAACCACCAGGGAGGUCAGCCCAACCACAGUGCAGCUCCGUGCCCGCCAAUGGCACCAGCACAGUCAGCUCCAUCAGCCCAAGCCAAGAAGGAGACUGGAACAAAGCCAGGGUCCUUGUUCAACUGUGGCGAGCAUGGCCACUUUGCUGACAAAUGCCCGAAGCCAAGGCGUGCCGGGCCAAGGUUUGUCCAGGCUCGUGUCAACCACGCGUCCGUCGAAGAGGCGCAAGUAGCACCAGAGGUCGUACUGGGUACGUUUCCUAUUAACUCAAUCCCUGCAACAGUACUUUUCGAUUCUGGUGCAACGCAUUCGUUCAUUUCAAAGAAGUUUGUUGGGAUACAUGGGUUAAUAAGAGAAGAACUUAGUACACCAAUGUGGGUUCAUACCCUAGGGAAUAGCUCCACUUCGGUUCAAUUCAGCCCUUCUAUAACAAUAGAAAUCCAAAGAUCACCAUUUCUAGCCAACCUCAUUCUUCUCGAAUCCAAAGACCCUAGAUGUCAUUCUUGGGAUGGAUUGGCUGACCAAGUUCAAGGGAGUUAUUGAUUGUGCGAAUCGCACAGUCACCUUGACCAAUGAGAAGGGAGAAACAAUAGUGUACAAAUCAUCAGUCUCACCAAAGCAAGGGGUCUCCUUGAAUCAGAUUGAGGUGGAAAUUCCAGUGGUCACCGAGGGGAAGAGUUCGACGAAAUUGGAAGAUAUCCCCAUAGUCUGCGAGUAUCCAGAAGGGUUUCCCGAGGACCUCACUACCAUGCCACCCAAGAGAGAGAUUGAAUUCCGGAUUGAUUUGGCACCGGGAACUGCUCCAAUUUACAAGAGACCGUAUAGAAUGGCAGCCAACGAGCUAGCAGAGGUCAAGAAGCAGGUUGAUGGGCAGCUGCAGAAAGGGUACAUUCGACCGAGUACUUCACCUUGGGGUGCUCCGGUUAUUUUUGUGGAGAAGGACAAGACGAAGAGAAUAUGUGUCGAUUAUCGCGCACUCAAUGAGGUCACCAUCAAGAACAAAUACCCGUUGCCGCGGAUUGAUGAUCUGUUCGAUCAGCUGAAAGGAGCCAAGGUGUUUUCCAAAAUAGACCUGCGAUCAGGCUACCACCAUUUGAGGAUUCGGGAAGAGGAUAUUCCCAAGACAGACUUCACUACUCGGUAUGGGUUGUAUGAGUGCACGGUUAUGUCUUUUGGACUUACCAACGCACCUGCAUUCUUCAUGAACCUGAUGAACAAAGUGUUCAUGGAAUUUCUGGAUAAGUUUGUUGUGGUAUUCAUCGACGACAUACUUAUCUAUUCAAAGUCUGAAGAAGAGCAUGAGCAACAUCUCCGUCUAGUACUCGAGAAGUUGAAGGGGCACCAGUUAUAUGCCUAGUUCAGCAAGUGUGACUUCUGGUUAUCGGAAGUCAAAUUUCUGGGUCACGUCAUUACAGCUCAGGGCGUGGCAGUUGAUCCAUCGAAUGUGGAGUCAGUUACCAAAUGGACUCCACCUAAGACCGUGUCACAGAUUCGGAGUUUUCUUGGACUUGCGGGUUAUUACCGUCGGUUCAUUGAAAAUUUCUCCAGGAUCGCCUGACCCAUGACUCAUUUGCUUAAGAAAGAUGAGAAAUUUAAAUGGACGGCCGAGUGUGACAAGAGUUUUGAGGAGCUCAAGAAGAAAUUAGUGUCUGCUCCAGUUCUGAUUCUGCCCGACCAGACAAAAGACUUCCAAGUCUACUGUGACGCGUCCCGCCAUGGGCUUGGAUGUGUUCUAAUGCAAGAGGGCAGAGUGGUCGCUUAUGCCUCGCGGCAGUUGCGUCCACAUGAAGGGAACAAUCCAACUCAUGACCUGGAAUUGGCAGCGGUGGUUCAUGCUUGGAAGAUCUGGAGGCACUAUCUGAUUAGCAACCGCUGCGAAGUAUAUACGGACCACAAGAGUCUGAAAUAUAUCUUCACCCAACCGGAUCUAAAUCUCCGACAACGAAGAUGGUUGGAGCUAAUCAAAGAUUAUGACAUGAGAAUUCACUAUCAUCCGGGUAAAGCCAAUGUGGUGGCAGAUGCAUUAAGCAGGAAGAGCUACGACAAUGCCCUAUGCACCGAGGGCAUGUGUAAAGAAUUGUAGCAGGAGCUUGAACGUCUCAACGUGGGAAUCGUAGAACACGGGUUCGUAGCCACUCUAGAGGCACGGCCUACGCUCGUGGAUCAAGUCAGAGCAGCUCAAGUGAAUGAUCCUGAGAUAGCUGAACUGAAAAAGAAUAUGAGGGUCGGAAAAGCCCGGGACUUUCUUGAGGAUGAACAUGGCACAAUCUGGUUGGGAGAAAGAUUGUGCGUGCCUGAUGACAAAGGGCUGAAAGAUCUGAUACUCACCGAGGCUCAUCAGACUCAAUACUCUAUUCAUCUGGGUAGUACCAAGAUGUAUCAAGAUCUCAAAGAAAAAUUUUGGUGGGCUAGCAUGAGGAGGGAAAUAGCUGAAUUCAUCGCGCUCUACGAUGUUUGUCAGCGAGUUAAAGCAGAACAUCAGAGGCCCGCAGGAUUGUUACAACCUCUUCAGAUCCCGGAAUGGAAAUGGGAAGAAAUUGGAAUGGAUUUCAUAACAGGUCUGCCCAGGACAUCAUCUGGCCACGAUUUAAUCUGGGUAGUUGUGGAUCGACUUACCAAAGUUGCUCAUUUCAUUCCAGUGCAUACUACUUAUACGGACAAAAGGUUGGCAGAGCUCUAUCUCCCGAGAAUCAUGUGUCUACAUGGAGUACCCAAAAAGAUAGUAUCUGAUCGAGGGAGCUAAUUCACUUCAAAGUUCUGGCAGAAAUUGCAAGAGGAAUUGGGAACCCGGCUGAAUUUCAGUACAGCCUACCAUCCGCAGACCGAUGGUCAGACUGAGCGGGUCAAUCAAAUAUUGGAGGACAUGUUAAGGGCUUGUGCACUUGAUUUUGGUGGAGCUUGGGACAAAAGCUUGCCGUAUGUGGAGUUCUCUUACAACAACAGCUAUCAGGCCAGUCUACAAAUGGCACCGUUCGAAGCGUUGUACGGCCGGAAGUGCCGCACACCUCUCUUCUGGGAUCAAACAGGCGAACGUCAACUGUUCGGAACAGAAGUGUUAACGGAAGCAGAAGAGAAAGUCAGAACCGUCAAAGAGAGGCUGAGAAUUGCCCAGUCUCGACAGAAGAGCUACGCAGACAACCGCCGUAGGGAGUUCACUUUUGAAGCAGGGGAUUACGUGUACCUUCGUGUUACUCCACUCCGGGGAGUACACCGUUUUCAAACGAAAGGCAAGUUGGCACCACGCUUCGUGGGACCAUACAAAAUCUUGGAACGAAGAGGAGAAGUUGCUUAUCAGCUAGAACUUCCAUCCAAUAUGAUCAGUAUCCAUGACGUGUUCCACGUGUCCCAGUUAAAGAAGUGUCUGAGGGUACCCGAAGAACAAGCCGAUUCGGAGCACAUUGAUAUCCAAGAAGAUCUGACGUAUGUGGAGAAGCUAGUUCGUAUUCUUGAGACCAGUGAAAGAAGAACCAGAAACAAGGUCACCAGGUUUUGCCGGGUUCAGUGGAGCCACCAUUCAGAGGAAGAAGCAACCUGGGAAAGGGAAGAUGAGUUGAAGGCCGCCCAUUCGCACCUCUUCGCCAGCUCUUCCGAAUCUCGGGGUCGAGAUUCCGUUUAAGGGGGGUAGGUUUGUCACACCCUGAAGUUCUUCCCCCAAGCCUAAAUUGAAUUUAUAAAUCACCUUGAGAAAAUACCGGAGUCAAAGCAAGAGAAACCCUAAUAAAGUAAUGCAAAUAAUAAUCGGAAUUGGCAUGUGGGAUUUUGUUUGAGUUCUACAUGUCGAAAUAUGCUAACAAGAUUUUUAGUGGAAUUUUCAGAGCUCUAGAAAUAAUUUUAACCAAUUAAAAUUCAGCACCAGCAUUACUUAAUCCCUGGAAAUUCUUUUCCUUUUUCCUUUUUCCUUUUUCCCCUCCAUUUCCCCAAAUGGGCUGCCGGCCCAUUUCCUCCCCCUCCCGCGCCCCUUCCCUUAACGGGCCGGCCCAUUUUCCCUUCUCCUCCCGAAGUCCAGGCUGCCUCCCCCUCUAUCCCUCGGGCACUGAUAGGUGGGGCCCACCUGUCAGCCCCUUCCCCAACCUCCAGCCGCUCUCCGAGCCGGCGACCGACGCACCGCGCGCGCGCCGCCCACCUUCUCCGCCUUCCCCGCGCCCCACUCCCGCACGCCCCGUCUUCUCCGUGCAAACGCCCCCACUCCCGCUCGCGCCCACUUCACGAGAUGGCCGGGAUUCAAAUUCGAAUCCCGCCUCUCUCUCUCUCUCUCCCUACCUCCAACUUCCCCCACUAACUCCGGCGAAAUCGAGCCACUCCCGGCCGUUCCCGACCUCUCCGCCCCUAUAUAAUUCAUCCCCACAUCCUCCUCCUCAUUUUCCCUUUUUCCGCCGGCCUCUCCCGAGCUCUCCACCGCUCCCGCACCGUGCCCCCAUCCGCCGCUGUCUCUUCCAUUGCUCCGGCCGCCUCUAGCCGCCGCUAGGGUCACCGCUGCACCGCGCCGUCGCCGCCGUCGGGUUCACGUGGCCGAGAUCCACCUCGUCCACCCCGCCUCCGUCGAAUUCCGCCAUCGGAGGCCGCCGUCCGCCGUGCGCCGGUGAGCCUUUCCAUAGCCGCUCGCAGUUGACUCCCUCUCCCCCUCUAACAUCUCUCUUUUUCUCUCUUAGGGUGUCUCGGAGCCCGUCCACCGUUCUCCGUCGUUCCCCAGCCGUCGUCGUCGCCGUUCGCCGUCGUCUUCCUCCGCGCCGGCCAACUCACGGUGAGGCGCCCCUCCUCCUCUUUUCCCCUCCCUUUCCCUCCUAGCGCCGAGCCGGGCCGAGCCGCCGCUUCGGCCGUGCGCCACCGCCUUCGCGCCGCCGCCCUUGCCAUGGCAGGCCGGCCGGCUUGAUGCCGAGCCCGGCCGGCACCUCGCCACUCCCCUUGGGCCGGUGCCGAGUGGGGCCCGCCUGUCAGUGCCCCCUCCUUUCCCCCUUGUGUCACCGACUAAUGGGGCCCGCAUGUCGGCGCCGCCCCCUCCUUGAUGACGUCAGCCCUAGGAUAUAUUGCGCAAUAAAUAAUUAAGGUUUUUUCUCUUUAUAGUAAAAACACAGUGUAUCUUCUAAAAUUCAUAUCUAAUUCAUCCGAGCUCCGUUUAAGCCCAUUCAAGUCUCAGUAAAUCAAGACAAAUAUGUAGAAUUCAUUAAAAAUGGUUUUGUUUUCUGUUUCAAUAGUCUUAUAGCCUGUUUGUAUUGUUUGCUUUGUAUGACGCAUAGAUUCCGGCUCUCCCGAUGCUCCAGUGUACUUUGAGAUAGUCGCCGAGGUUCCUCCAGUAGCAGAGCAAGGCAAGUCAUACUUGUCACUUGAACAUGUUGAUCCUAUAUUGCAAAUGGUCUAUUGUUUUCCUUCAAGUACUGCAUUGUUUUGCAAUAAUAUUAUGGGAAGUUCACCUACUGUUACGGCCAUGCUAUUCUUGUACCAUGCUCCUUUGAUAGCUUGGGUUAUAAACAUGACUAGAGAUUGGACUAGGGAUUGCUUAGCCAUGCUUAGUUCAACUAGCACACAAUGGGGGGAAAUCAUAUUAAUGUAUAGACUAUAGGUUCUAAUGGUAAUGUUGGAUUAGUGCCACCGCUUCGGUGUUGGUUAAUUAAAAUAAAUCACAUGGUGGGCUGUGGGUGCAUGGUUUUGUUGGUCGCGCCCAUGGCAUUUAAGGACUGGUUCGCGGGAUGCCCUGGAAGAACUUAUCGUACUUACCACAAGCCAGCGUGGGCAACGGCUGGGCUUAUAGUGUAGCUUUCCUCUAGUUGACGCAUCCAGGCAAGGGUGGGCGUGAUGGAGCGGGGCGGGCCCUGCGACGACCUCUGUCGCUUCCGGAUUCACCUAGGCACGAGAGGGGACUGCGCGUUGCCCGCUGGGGACGAGGGUGAAACCUGAGGUAUGGUGUGUUUAGCUAGAGGGGGUUAUGUGAAGGGUCCUGUCACGGCCUCUUUCCGGUUUGUCGUGGUGGCAUGUCGGCGCACGGAAACGUGUCGUGGGGCUGUGUCUUGUGGGUACAAUUGUACACCUCUGAUUAGAGUAAAACUAUUCGAAUAGCCAUGCCCGCGGUUAUGGGCGGUCAACCAGAUUCACUGUGAUUAGUCUCACCCUAGUGUAGUCUGAUGGAACUGAUUAGUUCAGGUGGUUGGUUGGGCCUGUUGCAACGUGGUGUAGCGUUGAACAGUGGAUGGUUAAUAUUGAUUAAUUAGUACUAUGGUUUUACCGCUUUCAACUACUGUUUAUAAAUGCUCGCUUUAUGCAAAAGAACCUCUCUAGCUAUCCUUUGGUAAUAUCCUGCAUCAUACCUCCGUUCCGGUAUGACUUGCUGAGUACAGUGGGUAGUACUCAGUCUUGCUCUAUUUUUCCCCAACCCCAGAGUUUGAGUACGCGUCAGAUGGUGGUUUCUCCGAGGAGAAGGCUUCGUUCGUGCCGUCGAGGAUGCCUGUGGAGGGGCGUUCCCGCUGCCGUUCAAGUCAAGGCUUAGCUCCAGUUAUCUUUUGUUUUUCCGCUGCAUUUAUGUAAGACUUGUAUAAUGUUUGUAAGACGUGGAUCUGUAUGUCAACUUUGUCGUUUGUGUACCCCGGCCGGUCCUGGACGGGGAUUUUAAUGCACAUUCUGCUUGGAAUUCUAUUCGGGAAUUUCUGGGCGUGACAUAGGUUACACGUACGGAGUUGUUCCCUGAUUCACGUCUCCGAACAGGACUUGAUCGAGUAGAGCAGUAGUCUGGUCGGUAGAUGUAUUGCUAGUGGGUCCAACUACACCAGCCAACCGGUUGGCAAUCGGAGUCGACCGAAGAUGUAAAGGGAAAAUAAAAAAUACAUGUUAAUCAGUAACUAUCAACAUGCAGAUUUAGAUAACUAGGAAUAAGUCAGUUAACUAAUCGAGGAAUCAGAACGACCAACCCGGUAGGACGUUGUAGAUUGAAUUGUUGGUGAUGAUGAUUCCGAUCUCAUCGGGGCUCGUAGUCUGGUCGGGUCAGACUUCCCAGAUCCAAGGUAGUUGAAGUAUCCCUCGUCAAGAAAUCCAUAGUGACGAUGGCUUGGUGAAGCUUGACGAAGAUCCCGAUCUGCCGGAGAACGCACUUCGCUCGGGUCGUAUCACCCAAUAUACGAAGUUGUUGAGUAGUUUGUUGUUGAAGAAUCCAUCUCUUGAACCCAUCUCGUCAAAAUCAUGAAGCACCAAAAUCCCCCUACCUGGCGCACCACUAUCGACGUUUGAUGUCACGACUACGGUAUUUGCAUAAUAUGGGGAUCAUUGGUACUAGGAUAUAUGUGAGAUUAAGGUAAAAGAGAUGGGGACGAGGAUUUUUAUACAGGUUCGGGCCCCUGAAUUGUCAGGUAAUAACCCUACUCCUGUUGGCUGAAGCUGGUCGUUGCUCUUAUUCAUCAUAAUCACACCAGUACAAUAUUUGGGGUAGCCUAUCUAUCUGUCGUCGAUUUGGCGGCUAUAAAACCAUCCCGUAGUCGACAACAGAGUAGUCUUCCUAAUCGAAUUCGUGUCCAGCGAGAUCAGAGACAGCGCUAUGUCUCUCCUUCUUAUCUCUGAAGUCGAUAUCCGGCGUCUUGUCUUGGCGUAUGUUGACUUGUAUGUUGAUCUUGUGUCUUGAUCUAUUGUUCCGUGUCCCCUCUCCUCCUAGGGGGCCUUGUAUUUAUACCCAUAGGUGUCCCAUUGUCCAAGUAGAACUAGGGAAACCAAUAUGGAUACAAUCCGAGUAGUCCUUGUCGUUUCCAUGUAGAAACUCUAUUCAUCCUUCCUUAUGCAGAGCUCCUCCUAUAUCCGAAGGUUGUUUCCGUAUAAGACAUGGUAUGUAGUGGGUCCUGCCGAGAUUUAGUCAACUACUAUUAGGUAUGUGGUAUCCAUAACCCUAACAGUAACCAUUCCAACAAUAAUGUAGGAUCAAACAAGAUCAAACAAACCUACCAGAUGGGAGGUGAAUGUAUGGAAAACCAAAAAGCCAAAAUCUUUUGUGGAAUAAAAGAUUUACCUCGAACGGAGUAGAUGACAAAACUCUGUCACCGCCGGUCAAACCGCCUACUCGCCGCCGGCCAGACCGCCCAGAUACCUGCAAUUAGACCGCCGCUAUCCCACCAGUCAGACGCGUGCACACCUGCGGUUAGACCAUCGGGACCCAGAAAACACUGGUAGAUGACAAACUCGAAUACGUAGAUUGAAACUCUCGAUUUUAUUGAACUAGUGUUUACAAAGUGCACCAACAGCACUCACCAAAAUCUCGAACUAAACUCGACACCCUAACUUUCUCUAACUCAAGUCUCUCUAAAACAGAUACCGGGAGGCCACACCCUCCCUCUCUAUUUAUACAUGACGUAGGCUGUGCAAAGCCCACGAAUUGAACUCAACUUAGGACUCCCAACCACGUGGGAAACCCACUCUUGCAAGUAUACAACUUAUCCCUUUCCUUAUCUCUAUCAAUCUUCCCGAAUUCGGACUCCCUUCCAAAUUUGACUCCUCUUUCCAUACGUACACAAUCCCUCUUGUAUAUUGUCGGUGAUAUGGGCCCGGGGGUACCUGGGCUGAGGGAAAGGAAUCCCUUCCCUCCGCUACGCACCCGGGUGGCCCAGAACCCCCCCCCCCCUCCUUCUCGGGGGAUUGGACACUCGGCCGAUGAGCGGCCGAAAAGGGGCCACGUGCCCCAGAGGGUUCAGGGUACCUCAUCGUGCCCCUCGGGCCCGAGGGGCUGGGUCGCCCCGAGGCCCUCGUUCGACCGCCGCGUGGUAGCCACGUGGCAGUUUGAGCGGGCAGGGACGCUGUCCACCAAGCACAAUUAUGGGCGGCGCCCCAACUGCCCCUGUCGCAUUUAAAGCGACGUGGCGGGUCGCGUGCCACCCGCUAAUAGACGUGCGCCAGGCGGCCUUGACCGGUCUGCGACCCGGUGAUGGAUGGAUGGGACAGGUGGCAGCGCACCCACGCCCCACUUUGUGUCAGGCUGCGUGGGGGCUGGUGUGCCCCGUCCCAUCAACUGCAGAGGAUAGACGUGCGGGUUGGUGCACCCCACGCACGUGAACCCGCAAAGUCGUCAGGUAUUUAUGAGGGAAUGACUGGGGAUGUCCCCCGUGUCAGAAGGAGGACCCUGGUGGGGACCACCAAAGGGCGACCACGUGCAUCGUUUCUGGCACAAGGCAUGGACUACUUUUCGGUCCAAGCGGGUGUGGGCCCCUCUCCGGGGAAGGGAGCGUAGAGACGGUGCAUGUGGUAUCCCCUUGAACUAUAAAAGGAGGACAUUGCCCUACGAGCAAGGGGACGACUCUUGGGAGAUCGAAUUCUAGGAAGAGGUUAGCCAAGCCCUAGUUCAUUGGCCUAGGAUCCGAGUUCCCUGUAAUCAGUUCGAAGAUCAACGCACACACAGGAGUAGGAUAUUACGCUCCAUAGCGGCCCGAACCUAGAUAAUUUCUCUCUCUCUCUCUCUCCAUCCUCCACCUCGCAAUCUUAACCAUCGCGGGUCCACUCGCUUGGGCGAGAUCACGCUCCUAAGCAUCGUUCUCGAUCCCCUGGCCGAACUCACGAAGGGGGGUCUCACAACCUCCCGCUAGAGAGGAUUCCUCCUCGACAUAUAUCAUAUGGAUUCUUCAUUACCAGGUGCAUUGCUCUCUAGCCUUUUAGUAUCCCGCAUGAUCUCUUGAUCCUUGGACAUCAACUUCUUCCAAGUCGACUCUGAUCUAUCAUCAGCAACACUCUCCUGAGGCCUCAAGCAACAUGUGCACAUGCAACAACUAAGAAAUCAUAUCCCGAGCACAAGUUCGUCCGAACUUGAACCAUAUUAGUAUACCAGCAGUAUCCAUACGAAUAGAAACCAUAUAGAAAUAAAAUCCCCGAAGGAAACAUCCAAAUCCAACAAGACAAUCCGAAGCGACAUCAAUCAGGUUCAUGUCGAUCAGACCGUUGGGUUGGCCGGUCUACGAUCUGACCAGCGGCACCUAGCCGGUUUGACCAAUAGGGGUCAACCGAACACAAUUAUUUCACAAAAUCAACCAUUUAUAAAUCUCCAAAAUAUCAUGAGCAAACCACCAAUAUUUUCAUCAUAAAGGCUAAAAAAACUCCUUGAUUUUACAAAUAGCGUUACUACCUGAUAAUAAGCAAUACAAAACAUUAAACUUUCUUCUCUUUCACCCUCUCUCUUUUAUACCCCAAGCAUUGCUCUACAUAUGGGCUCUAACUUACUAUCUUCACAUUGUGAGAGCUAGAAGCAACUAUUACAUGGUUUUGUAGGUUCACCUUACUAUCCACUUAGGAAAUAUAGAUUGAGGAUGCCAUUAGAAAUCACGAGAAAAUAUGUGGUGUAAAUCACAUGUGUAGUGGAAACUUAGAAACUACCAUUGAAUAAAAAAUGAACAUUUUGAUAUUUGUCCACGUCACUAUGAGUAAAAGUUUUUGCUGAAAGUAAAAUUUUUACUCAUGAGUAAAUCUGUGAGUAAUUUUUUUACUUGUGAUGAUGUGGGCGAAUUUCGAACGUCAAUUUUUCAAUCCAAUGGCAGUUUCCAAGUUUCCAUUACAUAUAUAUAUAUAUAUAUAUAUAUAUAUAUAUAUAUAUAUAUAUAUAUAUGGGAACAUAUCCUAUACAUCCAAGCUUCUCGUACACACCAAUUAGAAAAUGUUACAAAAUUUUUUACAAAAAAUUAGACAUUUACUCCUAAUAAUGUUACACAUAUCUGUAAAGUCUGAUAUUCAAAUUCAUUAUAUUUUAGCCGUAACAAAAAAGUGGAAAAUCAUAUAGUUUUAAGUGUAAAAAUCUGUCAGAACUUUGUCUUUUUUGUUACGGCUAAAAUAUAAUAAAUUUGAAGAUAAGAUUUCACACGUGGGUGUAAUACUAUGGAAGUAUGUGUCCCAUUUUUUCUAGAAUUUUCUGUGAUAUUUUCUUAAUGGUGUGCAUGGAGUGUACACGGGAAGUUUGUGUGCAUACGAUAUGCUCCCCAUAUAUAUGUGUGUAUGUGUGGGGGUGGGGGAGGGGUUGGGUGUUUCACCCUAAGUCACAGGGAACAUGGAACGUGGGUGAGUUCCUCGUUCCGGAAAUUUCGUCACGGAACGAGUAACGGGAACGAAGCGGAACUUCAUUCCAAAAACGGAGGGAUCGUCGACCCCAAAACAUGGUACAGCAGUGGAGGAACGAGAAGGGCGGUACAGGCAAUGGAGAAACAAGAAGGGUUCGCUGCUCACCGCUGUUAUGCCGAGGAACAAAAAGUCAUAAACCAGCGCACGCCGCCGCUGUCGAACAGAAGAGGAGGGAGAAAUAGAGGGGCGCCGGCGAGCGGCGCACCGCAGCCGCGUUGCUCCCUCCAUUGCGCUGCUCCUGCACUAACGAGGAAGUCAUCACGCUGCGCCACCGGCGUUGCAUCGACCUAGUGGACUGGACUACUG
rnacentral:lncRNA from 1 species